ensembl:lncRNA
GGCAUGAGGAGGUAGGCGAAUAAUUACAAUUUUGCAGAUUAACACUGGAGUGAUAAAUGAUCAGAUGGUCAUGUACAGGUUGAGAUAUUGGUGUGCAAAAGAGCAGAAAAGUAAAUAAAUAAAAACAGUAUGGGGAUGAGGUAGGUAAAAAUGGGUGGGCUAUUUACCGAUAGACUAUGUACAGCUGCAGCAAUCGGUUAGCUGCUCAGAUAGCAGAUGUUUGAAGUUGGUGAGGGAGAUAAAAGUCUCCAACUUCAGUGAUUUUUGCAAUUCGUUCCAGUCACAGGCAGCAGAGAACUGGAACAAAAGGCGGCCAAAUGAGGUGUUGGCUUUAGGAAUGAUCAGUGAGAUACACCUGCUGGAGCGUGUGCUACGGGUGGGUGUUGCCAUAGUGACCAGUGAACUGAGAUAAGGCGGAGCUUUACCUAGCAUGGACUUGUAGAUGACCUGGAGCCAGUGGGUCUGGCGACGAAUAUGUAGCGAGGGCCAGCCGACUAGAGCAUACAGGUCGCAGUGGUGGGUGGUAUAAGGUGCUUUAGUGACAAAACGGAUGGCACUGUGAUAAACUGCAUCCAGUUUGCUGAGUAGAGUGUUGGAAGCUAUUUUGUAGAUGACAUCGCCGAAGUCGAAGAUCGGUAGGAUAGUCAGUUUUACUAGGGAAGGCACGAUAGCUGAGGUUCAUAGCUAGGUUCUGAACUAAUAUGUAUAGCAAACAUUUGGGUCCAUACACAGAUCGGCUAGAUAGCUAGCUACACAUCCAUAGGCAUACAGGUACAGUUGAAGUCGGAAGUUUACAUACACCUUAGCCAAAUACAUUUAAACUCAGUUUUUCACAAUUCCUGACAUUUAAUCCUAGUGCCCGUCUUAGGUCAUUCAGGAUCACCACUUCAUUUUAAGUAUGUGAAAUGUCAGAAUAAUAGUAGAGAGAAUGAUUUAUUUCAGCAUUUAUUUCUUUCAUCACAUUCCCAGUUGGUCAGAAGUUUACAUACACUCAAUUAGUAUUUGGUAGCAUUGCCUUUAAAUUGUUCAACUUGGGUCAAACGUUUCAGGUAGCCUUCCACAAGCUUCCCAUAAUAAGUUGGGUGAAUUUUGGCCCAUUCCUCCUGACAGAGCUGAAGUAGCUGAGUCAGGUUUGUAAGCCUCGUUGCUCGCACACGCUUUUUCAGUUCUGCACACACAUUUUCUAUAGGAUUGAGGUCAGGGCUUUGUGAUGGCCACUCCAAUACCUUGACUUUGUUGUCCUUAAACCAUUUUGCCACAACUUCCUGACUGAUGUCUUGAGAUGUUGCUUCAAUAUAUCCACAUAAUUUUCCUGUCUCAUGAUGCCAUCUAUUUUGUGAAGUGCACCAGUCCCUCCUGCAGCAAAGCACCCCCCACAACAUGAUGCUGCCACCCCCGUGCUUCACGGUUGGGAUGGUGUUCUUCGGCUUGCAAACUCCAAGCUGUUUAAAGGUACAGUCAACUUAGUGUAUGUACACUUCUGACCCACUGGAAUUGUGAUACAGUGAAUUAUAAUUGAAAUAAACUGUUAACAAUUGUUGGAAAAAUGACUUGUGUCAUGCACAAAGUAGAUGUCCUAAUCAUCUUGCCAAAACUAUAGUUUGUUAACAAGAAUUUUGUGGAGUGGUUGAAAAACUACUUUUAAUGACUCCAAACUAAGUGUAUGUAAACUUCCGACUUCAACUGUAUAAGUAACAAAUAAAAAUCUUUCCAGUAUAAUUUAUUCAUAUGGGCAAAUAGAUUCCAUGGUAACAGAGUGAUGCUGAGACUCAGAUUUUUCACUUUAAAAAUGUAUGUCAAACAAAAACCAAUGAUUAAAAAGUUAAACAAACCAUACAACUGCUAUGCACAAGGACUACUUUAAAGGUCCAAUGCAGACAUUUUUAUCUCAAUAUCAAAUAAUUUCUGGAUAACAAUGAAGUACCUUACUGUGAAUUUAAAAAAUAAAAAAAAUUGUAAAAAAGACACAUUUCUCAAGUAAGAAUUUUGCUAGGGAUGUCUGGGAGUGGUCUGAGUCUGGAGGGGAAAUCUCAAAACUAUAAUUUAUUGGCAGAGAGGUUUGGAACUAUUUCUUAUUGGUCUAUUAACUAAUUUACUACCUAGUGAUGUCACCAGGAAGGCCAAAACUCCAUCCCACCAUAACAGGCUGGAAUUUCGGGCAAUCUUUUCAAACAGCUCGUACACUAAAAGGGCAUUAUCAUAAUUUCAACAAUUUCAAAGUAUUAUUCUAAUCUUAUAGUGUGGAACUAUAUAUAAAACACAGGAAAAUCAUGUUUCACAAUUUCCACAGAAGAUUAAACAGAAACACAUUUGCUUGACAAACAGUGCAGAUGCAAAGUUUGGUAACAGAAUGACGGCACAAAAUGAAUAGUCAUUCUGUUACCA